GGCAUCGAUGGUGCAACGGUUAGAGCACACACUCCUGGACAGGAUGGCAUGCGGGAUCAAGUCCCGCCCGAAGCCA